CCUGGGGGCACCUGGGGGGUACCUGGGGGGAGCUGGGGGGACAGCUGGGGGCAGCUGGGGGCACCUGGGGGGACAGCUGGGGGCAACUGGGGACAGCUGGACACAUCUGGGAACCCCUGGGGGCACCUGGGGACAGAUGGGGACACCUGGGCACAGCUGGGCACACCUGGGGCACACCUGUGGGCACCUGGGCACACCUGGGGACACACCUGGGGACACACCGGGGCACACCUGGGCACAGCUGGGCACAGCUGGCCGCUCAGGUGCCCCCUGUGCCCGCAGACGUGCCCGACCCCCCCGAGGCCGUUCGCGUCACCCAGGUGGGCGAGGACUGGGCCGUGCUGGUCUGGGAGCCCCCCAAGUUCGACGGGGGGCAGCCGGUGACAGGUGAGGGCCACACCUGGCAGGUGGCACCUGGGGACACACCUGGGCGGCCCCUCCCGGUCCCCACCGCGGUCUGGGCUGUGUGCGGGCACACCUGGCACACCUGGAACAGCUGGAACACCUGGAACAGCUGUGUUACCUGUCCCUCACCUGUCUCACCUGUCUCACCUGUCCCACCUGUCCGUCACCUGUCCCUCACCUGUCUCACCUGUCCCUCACCUGUCCCACCUGUCCCUCACCUGUCCCACCUGUCUCACCUGUCCCCCACCUGUCCCACCUGUCCCCCACCUGUCCCACCUGUCCCUCACCUGUCCCACCUGUCCCACCUGUGUCUCACCUGUCCCACCUGUCCCUCACCUGUCCCUCACCUGUCCCACCUGUCCCACCUGUGCCAGGUUACCUGGUGGAGAGGAAGAAGAAGGGCUCCCACCGCUGGAUGAAGCUCAACUUCGAGGUGCUGCCGGCGCUCACCUUCGAGUCCACGCGCAUGAUCGAGGGGGUGCUCUACGAGAUGAGGGUCUUCGCCGUCAACGCCAUCGGGGUCUCGGCCCCCAGCCUCAACACCCCCCCCUUCAUGCCCAUCGGUGGGUGGGGGGCCUGGGGAGGGGUCCCGGGGGGUCCUGGAUUGG
rnacentral:lncRNA from 1 species